rnacentral:rRNA from 1 species
ACAUACGACCAUACCUACCAGAAAAUACGGGAUCCCGUCCGCUCUCCCUUAGUCAAGCUGGUAAGGUCCAGAUUAGUAGUUGGGUCGGUGACGACCAGCGAAUCCCUGGUGUUGUAUGUU